GAGUAAUGUCUGGGAAACUGCCUGAUGGAGGGGGAUAACUACUGGAAACGGUGGCUAAUACCGCAUAACGUCGCAAGACCAAAGAGGGGGACCUUCGGGCCUCUUGCCAUCAGAUGUGCCCAGAUGGGAUUAGCUUGUUGGUGAGGUAACGGCUCACCAAGGCGACGAUCCCUAGCUGGUCUGAGAGGAUGACCAGCCACACUGGAACUGAGACACGGUCCAGACUCCUACGGGAGGCAGCAGUGGGGAAUAUUGCACAAUGGGCGCAAGCCUGAUGCAGCCAUGCCGCGUGUAUGAAGAAGGCCUUCGGGUUGUAAAGUACUUUCAGCGGGGAGGAAGGUGUUGUGGUUAAUAACCGCAGCAAUUGACGUUACCCGCAGAAGAAGCACCGGCUAACUCCGUGCCAGCAGCCGCGGUAAUACGGAGGGUGCAAGCGUUAAUCGGAAUUACUGGGCGUAAAGCGCACGCAGGCGGUCUGUCAAGUCGGAUGUGAAAUCCCCGGGCUCAACCUGGGAACUGCAUUCGAAACUGGCAGGCUUGAGUCUUGUAGAGGGGGGUAGAAUUCCAGGUGUAGCGGUGAAAUGCGUAGAGAUCUGGAGGAAUACCGGUGGCGAAGGCGGCCCCCUGGACAAAGACUGACGCUCAGGUGCGAAAGCGUGGGGAGCAAACAGGAUUAGAUACCCUGGUAGUCCACGCCGUAAACGAUGUCUACUUGGAGGUUGUGCCCUUGAGGCGUGGCUUCCGGAGCUAACGCGUUAAGUAGACCGCCUGGGGAGUACGGCCGCAAGGUUAAAACUCAAAUGAAUUGACGGGGGCCCGCACAAGCGGUGGAGCAUGUGGUUUAAUUCGAUGCAACGCGAAGAACCUUACCUGGUCUUGACAUCCACAGAACUUUCCAGAGAUGGAUUGGUGCCUUCGGGAACUGUGAGACAGGUGCUGCAUGGCUGUCGUCAGCUCGUGUUGUGAAAUGUUGGGUUAAGUCCCGCAACGAGCGCAACCCUUAUCCUUUGUUGCCAGCGGUCCGGCCGGGA
rnacentral:rRNA from 1 species